UUGCUAACUCCUACGGGAGUCAGCAGUGAGGAAUAUUGGUCAAUGGACGCACGUCUGAACCAGCCAAGUAGCGUGCAGGAUGACGGCCCUAUGGGUUGUAAACUGCUUUUAUGUGAGAAUAAAGUUAGGUAUGUAUACUUAUUUGCAUGUAUCACAUGAAUAAGGACCGGCUAAUUCCGUGCCAGCAGCCGCGGUAAUACGGAAGGUCCAGGCGUUAUCCGGAUUUAUUGGGUUUAAAGGGUGCGUAGGCCGUUUGAUAAGCGUGCUGUGAAAUAUAGUGGCUCAACCUCUAUCGGGCAGCGCGAACUGUUGAACUUGAGUGCGUAGUAGGUAGGCGGAAUUCGUGGUGUAGCGGUGAAAUGCUUAGAUAUCACGAAGAACUCCGAUUGCGAAGGCAGCUUACCGUAACGUUACUGACGCUUAAGCACGAAGGUGCGGGUAUCGAACAGGAUUAGAUACCCUGGUAGUCCUAUC
rnacentral:rRNA from 1 species